UCGUCGAAUAAGAAGCAGACAACGGGGACCUGCCAAACUUUGCUUACGUUACUGCCGCCGUUCGCAAUUUGAGCUGCACAUCACAGCGUGGUACAUUGCUCCCGUUUGAAGAUGGUGCCCCUGCAGUAGAGUGAACCUGCACCAUGGCUUGCACUGUCCAGAUCCUAUGCCGGACAGACCGGUCUGUGAGCCUGGUCCUCUUUUUCUAUGUCUUCUCCAUCGGCAUUACUUUUUUUUAACAAGUGGCUAAUGAAAUGCUGGACUGGGAAGCCUCGGGUUGUGGUGAACUGGACAGACUACCUCUCCAAGGUUGCCCCAGUCGGAGGUGUGUACCCUGCUGCAGGCAGGUGACCUGAUGGGGGACAGGAUGAGUGGACUGAACUGGAUGAGUUUCGCUGUCUGUGUGUCUGGUAUCGCCUUACACCUGGGACUGAAAACCUACUAUUCCAUAAGUAAGCUGUAUGUGGUACCAUGUUAAAUGUUGUUAAUCUGUUCCUAGUGUAGUCGUUAUAUGAGGUAUGUUGUAAUUGCUUGUUAAUGAAGCCAGCUCUGCCGGCAGUUCUGAGGUACAGUGUUUCACCUAGCUAGCCUUUAAAUACAGUAAUUCUGUAUUCAUUUUCUAAUGAGUUCCAGGUAAAAUUCACUCGUUGAGACUGCUGGCCAUCGAAAACAGCCCAGACCUGGAACUACCGUUAUUACGUCAGAAGGAAGACGAGGGGGAGGAGACAGCUACUGAGGACAAUGACGAAGAGCAGGAGAUUCUACUCUGACUCAAACAAAAUGUUUGGACUGACUGUCAUGUUUCAGGGAGGCCAGAGGAACAGAAGGGAAGUAUUCUUACGCUCUUCUACAGCCAACAUUCUCUUCAGCUUUUGUUCAAAACCUAUCGCAGAGUUUAACCAGCGGUGAAAUGACAGACACCCUAAACUGUAUCAAAUGCAUAUACUGUUGGUGUCAGUGACGUUUAACAGGAGAUUUAACCUUAUAAUAUGUGAAGUGACCAAACCUCAGGUAACCUUAAUAAUGAUGGGAAAGUUUACUAGGAAUUAAGGAUAACUGAUGUUCAAUACAUUUUAUUUUUCCAAAUGCAAAUGAUUGAUUUAAUUACUGAGUUAAAACAAAUUGGUUGUAAUUUGCAAUGUAGGAAGGGGUGUGAUUUGAGAUUGAAUAAACUGUGUUUUUGUU